rnacentral:lncRNA from 1 species
ACAUUAAAUACCCAGCUCCUCUGCGCGAUUACAGCAGCCUCCGGAGCUCUUCCAAAUUGUCACCUAGGAUGAAUAUGACAGCAAACAAUGCUUUAAAAUGAGUUUGAGUUUUAUGCAAUUUCUUGUAUAAAAGGAGAGCCUGAGUCCAUGGAAGUUGGGAUUGAACAUCCUGAAUAUGCAGUUCCUUGGAGAGCCACCAAGAAAAGACCUAAGCAAGAGACAUGAUGUCAUCUUCGGGGAGGAGGCUCUUCAGCUGUCUGGCAUGAGAAGAGGAGGAAUGAGGAGGAUCACUGGCCUUGAACCCCCAAAGAGAGGCUAGAGCACCUCUCUAGGACCCAGUCCAGGGUUUGUCUUGAACAUCCAGCUCCAAAAGAGAUGCUGUGCAGAUUCAAGCUGCCAAGUCCUGAAGGACCUGAGGGAAAACCCAACCCCAAGCAGCCCAGAUGGUAUCUGAGUAUCCUGUGCCCUACCCACGAAGAUCAGGAGCCUAAAGUCUAGAGCUCACUGCAGAACCAGACCAAAGACAGUUUAAGGGCCAUUGAGCCAAGCCUUCCUGACCUCCCAUGGAGAGGGGAAGAGAGAACAGGACC